CCUAGGGGAGGCUGCAGUGGGGAAUAUUGGACAAUGGGCGAAAGCCUGAUCCAGCCAUGCCGCGUGUGUGAAGAAGGCCUUCGGGUUGUAAAGCACUUUCAGUGGGGAAGAAAGCCUUGGGGCUAAUACCCUCGAGGAAGGACAUCACCCACAGAAGAAGCACCGGCUAACUCCGUGCCAGCAGCCGCGGUAAUACGGAGGGUGCGAGCGUUAAUCGGAAUUACUGGGCGUAAAGCGCGCGUAGGCGGUCUGAUAAGCCGGUUGUGAAAGCCCCGGGCUCAACCUGGGAACGGCAUCCGGAACUGUCAGGCUAGAGUGCAGGAGAGGAAGGUAGAAUUCCCGGUGUAGCGGUGAAAUGCGUAGAGAGCGGGAGGAAUACCAGUGGCGAAGGCGGCCUUCUGGACUGACACUGACGCUGAGGUGCGAAAGCGUGGGUAGCAAACAGGAUUAGAUACCCCAGUAGUC
rnacentral:rRNA from 1 species